AUGUAUAUAAAAUGAUCGUGGAACUUGUAUUCCAGCGUAUCUGUAGGCAGCUUCCGAUUCUUCCGAAAUGUCUUGUUUUCAUCACUUUGUGCAUUUGAACAAAGGCUGUAUUCGUGAAUGUUGAAUUGUGGGUUUAUUUAUGUGACAAGGUCCAGUAAUUUUGUAUGUGCAGCCUUCCUCUGCUUGCACGCUGCAUGAUUGCUUCAUUUUGCUGUCUCAAAUGAGAAGCUGACGAUGAUGGUGAUUUUCAGUCGAAGCAAACAAGGACAAGUCGGUGAACUUUUCAUGUAAAUCAAGACGUAACCUCGUGGAAAGCUGGGAGAUGCAACGAGUCGAGGUAUGUAAAAUUUCAAGAUUUUCUUGGCCUAGCUAGCUAGUGAUAAGGACAGUGUUUUAGUGUUCCCUAAAUAAUACAUUGCUGGCUAGUAAGUGCCUAUGCGAGGUUAUCAUUUGAAUUUGGCAAGGCAGCACUAUGUACGGAUGAUGAUGUACACUCACUUCUACUCUCACGUAUACUUGUCAUAUGCUCCUCUUACUUGUAUGCAUGCCAUUUCCUGGACUAAAAAUCGAUCGCAGCUUUGGUUCUUUUUUGCUUUCCUGUGCUAAUGAUGGAUGCAGUCUACUUGAGACGUCGGUAAUGCUGCCUGCUUUGGUUGGGCAUCGGGAGUUGGUGCCCCCCAGAUUUAGGGUCUUGUCGAGCGAAUGAACAGGACUAGGAGGAUGAUGGAAAGCAGAGGAACAAAGCUUGUCAAAUGAAGGCUGGCCCCCGUCUCAUGCCACUUGUUCUUGACAUCAGAAAGCACUACGGACAAGGUCGAUAUCAUGAUAAAUAGCAUGCUGUAUGUAUGGGAUCAUCAGCGAACGUUAUGGCUGAAUUUGUUUGCUGUUCCAAAUGAAACGGGCGAUGAAGAACACUGCACAGAUUGUACUUAUAUCAGUAUCCACACAAGGAUCGAUCCUCAGAUUCAGUUCCAUACAAGAACUGCUUAUCAAAAAGAUUCUUCGCACUAGCUGCGGGAAACACGGAUUGGAGGCCGCAUCAUUCUCUCCAUUCUCCAACAUGAGAAUUAAAGGAAGCAAAGAAAGGAGGAGGAACUAAAUGAAGCCCUGUCACUCAGUUUGAGCCAUCAUUCUCUUUCCGUAAGCAUCCAAUCAUAUGGGCCAUUAAAGCAGGCAAAGGAGAGAGAGAGAGAGAGAAGCUCAGUCAGGAUAUUCCAUGAAAAACGCAAAAGAAAGCACCUGCAAUCAUCACCAGCUUCAUCACUCAUCAGGCUGCUAAUGCUAAUGGCGGGGUAUAUUCCCCAUCCUGGCUCUCCCCUGUCGGGCGGGUUUCCUGUGAAUCUGUGAUUCAAUUUGCUGCUCACCAGGUGGUGCCAAACGCUUGUCUCCCUCCCUCUAAAAAAACACUUGUCUCACAGCUUCUAGAUACCGUGCAGAGUUGCGGACACGCACUUAGCUCGAUGUCAUAGACAGUAGUGCACUUGUAUAUUUGAUUCCCUUUGUUUUGUUGGUAACUAAUGAUUCAGAUGAAGCGCACGUAA